GCAGAUCGCUUGCAGCUUGCUAGCUGUGUGGGCUGGGAGGUCUGGUAGGGCUGAGCUUGCAAGAGGAUCAACAUGCCUGACGGUCGCUCAGCAAGAAUUCCUGUCAGAUCAGCUGUUGAGCCACAGGAGCAAAAAUCACCCAGGCGCUGACGUUGUCUGGUCUACUUCAGCAGUUUCUACUCUAAGCGAGUCCACAGUCGGGGUCACUUUCUUUGCUUAGCACCUCGACUUCGCGCAGUUUUCAUCGAAGACAGUUCAUUACGCAUUGGCUAGAGAUUUACUACAUCCGUCCUUGGAAGAGGAAAAGAAAAAACAUAAAAAGAAACGCCUAGUACAAAGUCCAAAUUCUUACUUUAUGGAUGUAAAAUGUCCAGGUUGCUACAAGAUCACCACGGUUUUCAGCCAUGCUCAGACAGUGGUUCUUUGUGUAGGUUGUUCAACAGUGUUGUGCCAGCCUACAGGAGGAAAGGCCAGACUCACAGAAGGGUGUUCAUUUAGAAGAAAGCAACACUAAUGAUUCAAACAGCUUCCUGAAUUUUAAUUUUGUGUUGUCUCACAGAAAGCCUUAUCAUAAAUUCCAUAAUUCUAAUUAAUUUACCAAGAUAAUGUAAUUACAUUUGGUUUUGUAAGGUAUACAGCAGUAAUCUCCUAUUUUGGUGUCAGUUUUUCAAUAAAGUUUUGAUUAUGGGCAAA
rnacentral:lncRNA from 1 species